rnacentral:rRNA from 1 species
GGGUUGUGAGGUUAAGCGACUAAGCGUACACGGUGGAUGCCCUGGCAGUCAGAGGCGAUGAAGGACGUGCUAAUCUGCGAUAAGCGUCGGUAAGGUGAUAUGAACCGUUAUAACCGGCGAUUUCCGAAUGGGGAAACCCAGUGUGAUUCGUCACACUAUCAUUACGUGAAUACAUAGCGUAAUGAAGCGAACCGGGGGAACUGAAACAUCUAAGUACCCCGAGGAAAAGAAAUCAACCGAGAUUCCCCCAGUAGCGGCGAGCGAACGGGGAGCAGCCCAGAGUCUGAAUCAGCUUGUGUGUUAGUGGAACGGUCUGGAAAGUCCGACGGUACAGGGUGAUAGUCCCGUACACCAAAAUGCACAGGUUGUGAACUCGAAGAGUAGGGCGGGACACGUGGUAUCCUGUCUGAAUAUGGGGGGACCAUCCUCCAAGGCUAAAUACUCCUGACUGACCGAUAGUGAACCAGUACCGUGAGGGAAAGGCGAAAAGAACCCCGGCGAGGGGAGUGAAAAAGAACCUGAAACCGUGUACGUACAAGCAGUGGGAGCAUCCUUUUGGGUGUGACUGCGUACCUUUUGUAUAAUGGGUCAGCGACUUAUAUUCUGUAGCAAGGUUAACCGUAUAGGGGAGCCGAAGGGAAACCGAGUCUUAACUGGGCGUUAAGUUGCAGGGUAUAGACCCGAAACCCGGUGAUCUAGCCAUGGGCAGGUUGAAGGUUGGGUAACACUAACUGGAGGACCGAACCGACUAAUGUUGAAAAAUUAGCGGAUGACUUGUGGCUGGGGGUGAAAGGCCAAUCAAACCGGGAGAUAGCUGGUUCUCCCCGAAAGCUAUUUAGGUAGCGCCUCGUGAAUUCAUCUUCGGGGGUAGAGCACUGUUUCGGCUAGGGGGUCAUCCCGACUUACCAACCCGAUGCAAACUGCGAAUACCGAAGAAUGUUAUCACGGGAGACACACGGCGGGUGCUAACGUCCGUCGUGAAGAGGGAAACAACCCAGACCGCCAGCUAAGGUCCCAAAGUCAUGGUUAAGUGGGAAACGAUGUGGGAAGGCACAGACAGCCAGGAUGUUGGCUUAGAAGCAGCCAUCAUUUAAAGAAAGCGUAAUAGCUCACUGGUCGAGUCGGCCUGCGCGGAAGAUGUAACGGGGCUAAACCAUGCACCGAAGCUGCGGCAGCGACACUAUGUGUUGUUGGGUAGGGGAGCGUUCUGUAAGCCGUUGAAGGUGUAUCGUGAGGUAUGCUGGAGGUAUCAGAAGUGCGAAUGCUGACAUAAGUAACGAUAAUGCGGGUGAAAAACCCGCACGCCGGAAGACCAAGGGUUCCUGUCCAACGUUAAUCGGGGCAGGGUGAGUCGACCCCUAAGGCGAGGCCGAAAGGCGUAGUCGAUGGGAAACAGGUUAAUAUUCCUGUACUUGGUGUUACUGCGAAGGGGGGACGGAGAAGGCUAUGUUAGCCGGGCGACGGUUGUCCCGGUUUAAGCAUGUAGGCGGAGGUUCCAGGUAAAUCCGGUACCUUUUUAACGCUGAGGUGUGAUGACGAGGCACUACGGUGCUGAAGUAACAAAUGCCCUGCUUCCAGGAAAAG